UACGUAGGUGACAAGCGUUGUCCGGAUUUACUGGGCGUAAAGAGCGCGCAGGCGGUCGAUCAAGUCGAGUGUGAAAGCCCCCGGCUCAACUGGGGAGGGUCAUUCGAUACUGAUCGACUCGAAGGCAGGAGAGGGUAGUGGAAUUCCCGGUGUAGUGGUGAAAUGCGUAGAUAUCGAGAGGAACACCUGCGGCGAAGGCGGGUUGCUGGGCUGACACUGACGCUGAACUGCGAAAGCUAGGGGAGCGAACGGG
rnacentral:rRNA from 1 species